GAUAAACGCUGGCGGCGUGCAUGAGACAUGCAAGUCAUACGGACGAUCGGGGUUCGCUCUGAUCGUUAGUGGCGGACGGCUGAGUAACGCGUAGGUGACCUGCCCCGAAGUGGGGAAUAACUGCCCGAAAGGGUGGCUAAUACCGCAUGUGGUGGUGCGUUCGAUCGCACCAGUAAAGCCGCAAGGCGCUUCGGGAGGGGCCCGCGUCCGAUUAGCUCGUUGGUGAGGUAACGGCUCACCAAGGCGACGAUCGGUAGGUGGUCUGAGAGGACGAUCACCCAGACUGGGACUGAGACACGGCCCAGACUCCUACGGGAGGCAGCAGUGGGGAAUUUUGGGCAAUGGGCGCAAGCCUGACCCAGCAACGCCGCGUGAAGGACGAAAUCCCUCUGGGAUGUAAACUUCGAAAGUC
rnacentral:rRNA from 1 species